rnacentral:tRNA from 1 species
GGGGCUGUAGCUCAGUGGUAGAGCACUUGCCUUGCAUGCGUGAGGCACUGGGUUCAAUCCUCAGCACCA